CUACGGGCGGCACCAGUGGGGAAUAUUGGACAAUGGGGGAAACCCUGAUCCAGCAAUGCCGCGUGUGUGAAGAAGGCCUGCGGGUUGUAAAGCACUUUCGGUUGGGAGGACUGCUUCUAGCACUAAUAUUGUUGGAAGUUGACGUUACCUUCAGAAGAAGCACCGGCUAACUCCGUGCCAGCAGCCGCGGUAAUACGGAGGGUGCAAGCGUUAAUCGGAAUUACUGGGCGUAAAGCGCGCGUAGGCGGCUAGAUCAGUCGGGUGUGAAAGCCCCGGGCUUAACCUGGGAACUGCAUCCGAUACUGUCUAGCUUGAGUACAGGAUAGGAGAGUGGAAUUCCACAUGUAGCGGUGAAAUGCGUAGAUAUGUGGAGGAACACCAAUGGCGAAGGCAGCUCUCUGGCCUGAUACUGACGCUGAGGUGCGAAAGCGUGGGGAGCAAACAGGGUUAGAUACCCCAGUAGUC
rnacentral:rRNA from 1 species